rnacentral:rRNA from 1 species
CCCUUAGAUGUUCUGGGCCGCACGCGCGCUACACUGAUGCAUUCAACGAGUUUCUUCCUGGUCCGAGAGGAAUGGGUAACCUUUUGAAAGUGCAUCGUGAUAGGGAUAGAUUAUUGCAAUUAUUGGUCUUCAACGAGGAAUUCCUAGUAGACGUAGUUCAUCAGACUGCAUCGAUUACGUCCCUGCCCUUUGUACACACCGCCCGUCGCUCCUACCGAUUGAAUGCUCAGGUGAGCCAUUCGGACUUUCAUCAUGCUGGUCUCCAGUUUUGAUGAAGGAAAGUCUUGCGAACCUUAUCAUUUAGAGGAAGGAGAAGUCGUAACA